AUGGUCCAGGAUGUUUGUAGAGUUUAAGCAAGGCUGUGCUUUUGAUCUGAAGUGGGUUUUGACUCUAUAAAGGAAUCCUGAUGGCCUUUGGAGAGCAGAGCAUGCAGUAGAGGGUCUUAGGGAGAUCGAGGGCAUCUCAGAGAGAUCGAAGAGCCUGUCUCAGGGGGACGAGCAGCUUGGCGUGAGCAAUUGUGGUAGGACAUCAA
rnacentral:lncRNA from 1 species